UUUUAUGGAGAGUUUGAUCCUGGCUCAGGAUGAACGCUGGCGGCGUGCCUAAUACAUGCAAGUCGAGCGAACAGACGAGGAGCUUGCUCCUCUGACGUUAGCGGCGGACGGGUGAGUAACACGUGGAUAACCUACCUAUAAGACUGGGAUAACUUCGGGAAACCGGAGCUAAUACCGGAUAAUAUAUUGAA
rnacentral:rRNA from 1 species